rnacentral:antisense_RNA from 1 species
GGGCGGUGCGUGGGGGCCUUGCGCCCGCCGGUUGUCCUAAUAGCCCGGUUUUCGAGCCACGCAUCGUCCGCCACCUUU